GCCGCUGGAGGCUGACAUUUCAUACUCUGGGAACCCUGACCUGCUGCUUUUCCGGUUGUGAAUUGAACCUGCUUUUUCAUGCCCCAGAAGGAUAGAACAAUGAUCAUUAAUAAUCGGCAUCUUCUGGAAAAUCGGAAAUGGAGCCUCCGUGAUCCGAGGCCGCCCUUAACCCCAGCUGUGUGUGGCUGGUCUACGGAAGGCUCCGCAGCUGCCACACCCUGUGGCGACCAGGGAAGUGGGGAAGGAGCUCAUGUGGAGCUGACAGAGGUGGCAGCCCCUCCCAAGCAGCCCAAGACAAACAUGCUGUAGGAAGUUCCCACGCUCCCAGGGCCUCGCUCCUGGAGCUUCUGCAGUCACCUGCCCGAGGCUGGGGCUGUGAGGAGGGCGGGGCCUCCGCCUCCCGCAGGUGAGUCUGAAGUCCCACCACACCGGCUGGGCACCUAUUCCGUGCCACACAUUUUGCAAACGUUGUCUCACUGAUUCCUCAUGAUGAUCCUACUGUGGUAAUACUGUGAUCUUCAUUUUGCAGAAUAGUUAACCUGAGACUCAGAGAGGUUAAGUGACUUGCCCCCGGUUGCACAGCCAAUAAAGGGAAGAGUCAGGAUUUGGACUCAGCUUCCCUUGGUUCCUAAGUCUGUGCUCUUGAGUCUCAGCAUGUAGUCACUCAGCAAAGCUGUGCAGCGUGCUGCUGGGUGCCAGGAUGCAGACGUGCAGCGCAAUGGCCUGGUGGGAGUCCUCACGCCCCACGGCACAGCAGAACACCGUUAGCAGCGGCCUGCGGUUCCUCCUACAAAAUGGGCAAGUGGGUCCCCAAACCGACCUUUGGAGAAUAUGCUAGAAGGAGGUAAGGCAGUGGACACACACCCAGCCACGGGCAAAGGUGCGAGAGGAACACAGCAUGUCGGUUCCCAGAGUUCUGUUUGGUGUUAUUUUCCAUGAUCUCGGGUCGGGGAUGGUCCGGGAAGCGGUGAGGGUCCUGGUUCACUCAAGACCAGGGCGAGCAAGAGCAGGUGUCCCUGCUGCCACGAGCACCCCUUCCGAAGGGGGAGGUGAAUGGAAAUGGGGACCCCUAAGCCUCAGCCACACAGGGGCCCACCAGGUCCUCCUCUCCCAGAGGCACCCUGAGAAAUGUGACCGGCCUGGGAGCUCUCGGAGGGCAGGACUGUCCUUUAUCAGGCGACCUAGAUUGAGUGCCAGCUGUAUGUAGGCUCGGGGCUCCCAGGGGCAUGGAGGAGAACGUCUUGUCCUCAGCACCCAGCGCGGUGCCUGACUCACGGUCAAUGCACAGGAAGUGCUGGCCAAGCAGUGGGACCACUGGGGGUCAUCAGUUGUCACUGACCCCCCGCUCCUGAUGCUCCUAGGGCCUUUGAGGGUCAAUGGGCCUUCCUGUCUUUGAGGACCCCUGGAAAUGGCCACGUGGCUGCCUCACAGGGUCCCCCCGUAGCUGGCCCCCCAGAUGGGACAGUGGCCCGGCACCGGCACGUCCGUCUCGAGUGGCAGUAUCGAGGGAGCCCACAGCUCCUUCUCCUGGGCCUCUGUCGUGGCCAUGGUGAGGAUGGGCCAGGUCACUGGGUGGCUCAGCUCGGGCUGGAGCCCACGUGAGGGUCAGAGCCAGGAGGCAAGGGGACAGGCCUGGGCAGGGCGGGCCCUGGCACCGGUCUGGCUGGUGAGCUGGCUGGUGAGCUUCCCUACUCGGGGCCCCUCCCACCUCUCAGAGUCUGGAUUUCAAGGCAGCAGGUGUUCAAAAAAGACCUGUCCUCUCAGGCAGGUCUCUGACCAAGUCCAUCCUUGGCCAAUCUCCCCUCCUCGGGGCUCCCGGCUGAGGAAGGGGCGUCAGGCUUGCAGCUGGGACUUGAUUCUUGUGCCCCGAGCAUGGGACGGCCCCGCCCCUCAUUUACUGCACCGCCUGCCUGGACCUGCCCUCCACCAACCUGCCCUUCUGGACAACACCUGCCACCUACCCAGACUCACCCACCCAUCCCAUCUCAUCGUCCCCCAGCCACGCACGGGCACGGCGUCCCCCCCCCUCAUCUCGCUGUUUGUUCCCCACGUGCCCCCCGGCAUCCUGCGCAGAGCGUCCAUCCACUCGCUCUGCCGCCGCCGUGCACCUGUUCAGCACCCAACUGCCCACCUGGUGUACCUGCUUGUCCGUCACUCCCUCCAGCUCCUGAAGUGGCAGAGUGGACUCAAAGCAAGGCUAGAGAAGUGACAAAAACCAAGUUGGCCAAAAAUGAAUCCUUUCAGUCCCUGGCUUUGCACCUCUCCAGCCAGAGACAGCUGCUCUUCCUGUCCCAGAGGCAGAGGGGGUUGGGCGGGACGCAGGGGCUUCUGGGUCAAACCCCCGGCUGGACUUGAGUCGUGAGUCUGCGGUUUAUCAGUUGUGUGACGGUGGACGAGUUAACCAGCUGCCCCAUGUCCCUAGAGUGUCAAUGGUAAUACCAGAGCCUCUUUGCUGAGUCAUUGUAGCAAUGAAAUGCAGGCAAUAAAUAAUAUGUUACUGAUAUAAUUCAUCCUCCUUAUAGAGACUGCACUAUCUAAUUGUGUCUGAUCCUACUGAGGGGGAAAGGUUUAUUUUGCCUGUGAUUACUGAAUGCCAAACUAAUGAAAAAUAAUCUCUUUAUGCAAUUUUUCGUUCAUCCGGACCUUCUUUUUUCUUAUUAGCAUGCUCCCUGCCCAUUUUCAAUCGCGUUUUCCUUUUUUAUUUGAGCAGCACUGCUAACAUCUCUUUGAUAAAAGGAAAACAAAAUUUCCAGUUGAGAUAAAGGAAGGGCCAUUUCCUUUGUCAGCGCUCCUUGAAAGGAGCAUUCAGUGUUCAAUGUUAUUUUCCCACUGGAAUGUGAAGAGAGAGGUGUGAAAUAUUUGUCCAGAUCAUUUCUCAUUAAUGAGGCAUUCCAAUAACCACAAGCGCGCCGGCCCUCUCACCAGGCACACCCAGGAGGGAGCGACUCGUCUGACUAAUCUGUGUCUGUGGGAGUGAAAGCCCUUGCUCUCUGGCUGAACUGGGACACAGGCACUCAUGUUCCACUGGUGCGAUGUGUCUGACAGCGUCAGCUGCUUGCCCUGGCCACGGCGUGGCGGAGUAUGGCCUGGUGUGGGCUGUGGAGGUUUCUGCUUCCUGCUGCUGGGGCUGGGCUAGGUUAGAGGCUGAACCCGAGGCUCUGGUGUAUGCUAGGCUCCUUGACACGUGUGGCUUUAAUCUCUCUCCUGUGUGAGAGAAACAUGUAAUUGCCCCAUCUUAGAGGAGGAGACUGAGGGUCAGAGUGGCUAUGGGAGACUUACUCUAGGUCACACCAGUAAACACAUUUCAGGUCUGUCUGACACCAACAUCCAGCUCUUGCUGCCACAGCUAGAAGUGUAGCCAUUCACCUGUUCACCCUUCCUCCAUCCCCAGUGUGCUCCUGAGCCAGUGUGUGUCCAGGAAGGAUGCCUCCUGUGCCCGCACAUCCACCAUGGCUCCAAAAUGUGAUGAUGGCCUAGUUUGAGCUUCUCGCCUCAGUUGAGACACAGCCCACCCCUGCCUUCACGGUACCGGUGCCAUCUCCUCUUGGGAUGGGCUCCCACCUGGCAGGCUGCUGUCUUCCAGAGCACCUCUAGACACCUGUGACACCUGGCACGUCUGCACGAGUGACCACCGCAGGCUUCCGGCUGGGGAUUCGGACGGGCCUGGGCGUGGGAGCAGGCUCAGGGGGCCUCCAAAGCUCCUCGCCGCUUGCCGUUCACAUCCUCGUGUGGCCUCGUCCACCCCGAGGGCUGACCUCGUGACCUGUGGGACAUCGUGGGAAGGAUGGAGCAGGGCUCUCAAGGCCGUGUCACAAAAGGCACUGCGGCUUCUGUCUGGCCUUCUUCAGUGACGACGUUCGCUUUCUCGAGCAGCCCUCUGGGAAGGGCCACGCAGCAAGGAACCGAGGCUCCUGCCCACAGCCCUGUGCGCAGCCACCCUGGACGCGGGUCCUCCAGCUCCAGUGGAGCCUUCGGAGGAGGCGCUAGCGCUGAUCAGCGUCCCGGCUGCAGCCGCCUGGGGGCCUGAGCCAGCACCCCGAGCCACGCCACGCCAGGGUCCCUGACCCACAGGAGCUGAGAGUGGUCACGUCUGCAGCGUUAAGCCACUAAGUUUGGGUCAUUGUGCUGCAGCGAGAGAUCACUAAUGCGUGAAGUGUGGGUGCUGCUCUGUCCCGACUGGUGGAGUAACCUGGGUCAGGUUACCAGCACGGAGCCUCGGUUUCCUCCUCCGUCAGACGGGGUCACAGUAACCGCCUUGGAGGGGCUUGCCGAGAACGGAGCGGGGCGUGUGCGAGGUGUCCCGCACUGUGCCCGGCUUCCGGAGGGCCCCGACUGCGGCUGCGGUUGUUUCUGUUGCAGUCUCGAUUGCUGUGUGGGCCUCGAUGUCACACCUGCCAGCAGGGACAGCUUCUUACGUGCCCUGACACACGCACUCACUCUCACACUCCCCGGGCCCAGGGCGCAGCUUACGGUGGGCUUUCUGUCCCUGCUACAGAACCAGCGAAUGAAGUGAACAGUUUCUUUUUUUUCAAAUUUAAGACAUUUUAAUUGUGGUAAAAUAUACAUAGUAUAAAUCUUACUAUUUUAGCCAUU